rnacentral:tRNA from 1 species
UUCUCUCGUAGCUCAACGGUAGAGCGGUUGGCUGUUAACCAAUAGGUUGCAGGUUCGAAUCCUGUCGAGGGAGU